GUAGGGAGCAAGCGUUAUCCGGAUUUAUUGGGUGUAAAGGGUGCGUAGACGGGAAGGUAAGUUAGUUGUGAAAUCCCUCGGCUCAACUGAGGAACUGCGACUAAAACUGCUUUUCUUGAGUGCUGGAGAGGAAAGUGAAAUUCCUAGUGUAGCGGUGAAAUGCGUAGAUAUUAGGAGGAACACCAGUGGCGAAGGCGACUUUCUGGACAGUAACUGACGUUGAGGCACGAAAGUGUGGGGAGCAAACAGGAUUAGAUACCCUGGUAGUCCACACCGUAAACGAUGGAUACUAGGUGUAGGGGAUAUUAAGUCUUCUGUGCCGUCGCAAACGCAGUAAGUAUCCCACCUGGGGAGUACGGCCGCAAGGUUG
rnacentral:rRNA from 1 species